rnacentral:rRNA from 1 species
GAGUGUGAUUAUACUAGCACAAAUGCAUUGGAUCUCAUCAACACUCCGUAGUUAAUCGUGCUUGGCCAAUAGUAGUACUUGGAUGGGUGAUCUCCUGGGUAGUCCUCAUGUUGCACCCC